rnacentral:rRNA from 1 species
CUAAGAAUCUUCCGCAAUGGGCGCAAGCCUGACGGAGCGACGCCGCGUGGACGAAGAAUGCCGAGAGGUUGUAAAGUCCUUUUAUUUGCGAAGAAUAAUGCCUGUAGGUAAUGACAGGCAGAUGACGUUAGCUUAUGAAUAAGCUCCGGCCAAUUACGUGCCAGCAGCCGCGGUAACACGUAAGGAGCGAGCGUUGUUCGGAAUUAUUGGGCGUAAAGGGCAUGUAGGCGGUUACAUAAGUCUGAUGUGAAAUACUACAGCUUAACUGUGGGAACGCAUUGGAAACUGUGUGACUUGAAUCUGUGAGGGGUAACUGGAAUUCCUAGUGUAGGGGUGAAAUCUGUUGAUAUUAGGAAGAACACCGAUGGCGAAGGCAAGUUACUGGCACAUGAUUGACGCUGAGAUGCGAAAGCGUAGGGAGCGAACA